rnacentral:rRNA from 1 species
UACGUAGGUGGCAAGCGUUGUCCGGAAUUAUUGGGCGUAAAGCGCGCGCAGGCGGUCCUUUAAGUCUGAUGUGAAAGCCCACGGCUUAACCGUGGAGGGUCAUUGGAAACUGGGGGACUUGAGUACAGAAGAGGAGAGUGGAAUUCCACGUGUAGCGGUGAAAUGCGCAGAUAUCAGGAAGAACACCCGUGGCGAAGGCGGCUCUCUGGGACGGUACUGACGCUGAGACGCGAAAGCGUGGGGAGCGAACAGG